UGGGGAAUUUUGCGCAAUGGGCGAAAGCCUGACGCAGCAACGCCGCGUGUGUGAUGAAGGUCUUCGGAUCGUAAAACCCUGUCGUCAGGGACGAAGGUUGUAUAUCUAACAGGUGUGCAACUUGACGGUACCUGGAGAGGAAGCCCCGGCUAACUCUGUGCCAGCAGCCGCGGUAAUACAGAGGGGGCAAGCGUUAUUCGGAAUUAUUGGGCGUAAAGCGUGCGCAGGCGGUUAUACAAGACAGGCGUGAAAUCCCCGGGCUUAACCUGGGAAUGGCGCCUGUGACUGUAUAGCUAGAGUGUGUCAGAGGGGGGUAGAAUUCCACGUGUAGCAGUGAAAUGCGUAGAUAUGUGGAGGAAUACCAGUGGCGAAGGCGAAUCUCUGGGCAUUACCUGACGCUCAUGCACGAAGGCCAGGGGAGCAAACGGG
rnacentral:rRNA from 1 species